rnacentral:rRNA from 1 species
AGAGUUUGAUCCUGGCUCAGAUUGAACGCUGGCGGCAGGCCUAACACAUGCAAGUCGGACGGUAGCACAGAGGAGCUUGCUCCUUGGGUGACGAGUGGCGGACGGGUGAGUAAUGUCUGGGGAUCUGCCCGAUAGAGGGGGAUAACCACUGGAAACGGUGGCUAAUACCGCAUAACGUCGCAAGACCAAAGAGGGGGACCUUCGGGCCUCUCACUAUCGGAUGAACCCAGAUGGGAUUAGCUAGUAGGCGGGGUAAUGGCCCACCCAGGCGACGAUCCCUAGCUGGUCUGAGAGGAUGACCAGCCACACUGGAACUGAGACACGGUCCAGACUCCUACGGGAGGCAGCAGUGGGGAAUAUUGCACAAUGGGCGCAAGCCUGAUGCAGCCAUGCCGCGUGUAUGAAGAAGGCCUUCGGGUUGUAAAGUACUUUCAGCGGGGAGGAAGGCGAUGUGGUUAAUAACCGCGUCGAUUGACGUUACCCGCAGAAGAAGCACCGGCUAACUCUGUGCCAGCAGCCGCGGUAAU